rnacentral:rRNA from 1 species
UACGGGGGGGGCAAGCGUUGUUCGGAAUUACUGGGCGUAAAGGGUUUGUAGGUGGCUUGCUAAGUCAGACGUGAAAUCCCUCAGCUUAACUGGGGAACUGCGUCUGAGACUGGCAAGCUUGAGUGCAGGAGAGGAACGCGGAAUUCCAGGUGUAGCGGUGAAAUGCGUAGAUAUCUGGAGGAACACCGGUGGCGAAGGCGGCAUCCUGGACCAACACUGACACUGAGGAGCGAAAGCCAGGGGAGCAAACGGG